rnacentral:rRNA from 1 species
AACGAACGCUGGCGGCAGGCUUAACACAUGCAAGUCGAACGCCCCGCAAGGGGAGUGGCAGACGGGUGAGUAACGCGUGGGAACAUACCCUUUCCUGCGGAAUAGCUCUGGGAAACUGGAAUUAGUACCGCAUACGCCCUACGGGGGAAAGAUUUAUCGGGGAAGGAUUGGCCCGCGUUGGAUUAGCUAGUUGGUGGGGUAAAGGCCUACCAAGGCGACGAUCCAUAGCUGGUCUGAGAGGAUGAUCAGCCACAUUGGGACUGAGACACGGCCCAAACUCCUACGGGAGGCAGCAGUGGGGAAUAUUGGACAAUGGGCGCAAGCCUGAUCCAGCCAUGCCGCGUGAGUGAUGAAGGCCUUAGGGUUGUAAAGCUCUUUCACCGAUGAAGAUAAUGACGGUAGUCGGAGAAGAAGCCCCGGCUAACUUCGUGCCAGCAGCCGCAGUAA